GACGAACGCUGGCGGCGUGCUUAACACAUGCAAGUCGAACGAAGAGCGAUGGAAGCUUGCUUCUAUCAAUCUUAGUGGCGAACGGGUGAGUAACGCGUAAUCAACCUGCCCUUCAGAGGGGGACAACAGUUGGAAACGACUGCUAAUACCGCAUACGAUCUAACCUCGGCAUCGAGGAUGGAUGAAAGGUGGCCUCUAUUUAUAAGCUAUCACUGAAGGAGGGGAUUGCGUCUGAUUAGCUAGUUGGAGGGGUAACGGCCCACCAAGGCGAUGAUCAGUAGCCGGUCUGAGAGGAUGAACGGCCACAUUGGGACUGAGACACGGCCCAGACUCCUACGGGAGGGCAGCAGUGGGGAAUCUUCCCGCAAUGGACGAAAGUCUGACGGAGCAAACGCCGCGUGAAGUGAAGACGGCCUUCCGGGUUG
rnacentral:rRNA from 1 species